CAUCCUACGGGGCGCAGCAGGGAAUAUUGCACAAUGGGGGAAACCCUGAUGCAGCGACGCCGCGUGAGUGAAGAAGUAUUUCGGUAUGUAAAGCUCUAUCAGCAGGGAAGAAAAUGACGGUACCUGACUAAGAAGCCCCGGCUAACUACGUGCCAGCAGCCGCGGUAAUACGUAGGGGGCAAGCGUUAUCCGGAUUUACUGGGUGUAAAGGGAGCGUAGACGGCAGCGCAAGUCUGAAGUGAAAUCCCAUGGCUUAACCAUGGAACUGCUUUGGAAACUGUGCAGCUGGAGUGCAGGAGAGGUAA
rnacentral:rRNA from 1 species